AUUGAACGCUGGCGGCAGGCCUAACACAUGCAAGUCGAACGAGUGGCGGACGGGUGAGUAAUGUCUGGGAAACUGCCCGAUGGAGGGGGAUAACUACUGGAAACGGUAGCUAAUACCGCAUACCAUCGGAUGUGCCCAGAUGGGAUUAGCUUGUAGGUGAGGUAACGGCUCACCUAGGCGACGAUCCCUAGCUGGUCUGAGAGGAUGACCAGCCAGACUGGACCUGAGACACGGUCCAGACGCCGACGGUAGGCAUGAGUGGGAAAUAUGGCAUAAGGGGCGCAAUCCUGAUGCAGCCAUGCUGCGGGUAUGAAGAAGGCCUUAGGGUUGUAAAGUACUUUCAGCGGGGAGGCGUUACCCGCAGAAGAAGCACCGGCUAACUCCGUGCCAGCAGCCGCGUUAAUAC
rnacentral:rRNA from 1 species